rnacentral:rRNA from 1 species
AUGGUGCUUGCACCUGAUUGAUUUUGGUCGCCAACGAGUGGCGGACGGGUGAGUAACACGUAGGUAACCUGCCCAGAAGCGGGGGACAACAUUUGGAAACAGAUGCUAAUACCGCAUAACAACGUUGUUCGCAUGAACAACGCUUAAAAGAUGGCUUCUCGCUAUCACUUCUGGAUGGACCUGCGGUGCAUUAGCUUGUUGGUGGGGUAACGGCCUACCAAGGCGAUGAUGCAUAGCCGAGUUGAGAGACUGAUCGGCCACAAUGGGACUGACACACGGCCCAUACUCCUACGGGAGGCAGCAGUAGGGAAUCUUCCACAAUGGGCGCAAGCCUGAUGGAGCAACACCGCGUGAGUGAAGAAGGGUUUCGGCUCGUAAAGCUCUGUUGUUAAAGAAGAACACGUAUGAGAGUAACUGUUCAUACGUUGACGGUAUUUAACCAGAAAGUCACGGCUAACUACGUGCCAGCAGCCGCGGUAAUACGUAGGUGGCAAGCGUUAUCCGGAUUUAUUGGGCGUAAAGAGAGUGCAGGCGGUUUUCUAAGUCUGAUGUGAAAGCCUUCGGCUUAACCGGAGAAGUGCAUCGGAAACUGGAUAACUUGAGUGCAGAAGAGGGUAGUGGAACUCCAUGUGUAGCGGUGGAAAUGCGUAGAUAUAUGGAAAGAACACCAGUGGCG